rnacentral:rRNA from 1 species
GCUGAGGCGGUAUAGGAUGGACCCGCGUCUGAUUAGCUAGUUGGUAAGGUAAUGGCUUACCAAGGCGACGAUCAGUAGCCGACCUGAGAGGGUGAUCGGCCACAUUGGAACUGAGACACGGUCCAAACUCCUACGGGAGGCAGCAGUGGGGAAUAUUGCACAAUGGGCGAAAGCCUGAUGCAGCAACGCCGCGUGAGCGAUGAAGGCCUUCGGGUCGUAAAGCUCUGUCCUCAAGGAAGAUAAUGACGGUACUUGAGGAGGAAGCCCCGGCUAACUACGUGCCAGCAGCCGCGGUAAUACGUAGGGGGCUAGCGUUAUCCGGAUUUACUGGGCGUAAAGGGUGCGUAGGUGGUUUCUUAAGUCAGGAGUGAAAGGCUACGGCUCAACCGUAGUAAGCUCUUGAAACUGGGAAACUUGAGUGCAGGAGAGGAAAGUGGAAUUCCUAGUGUAGCGGUGAAAUGCGUAGAUAUUAGGAGGAACACCAGUAGCGAAGGCGGCUUUA